AGCCGCGGUAAUACGUAGGGGGCGAGCGUUGCUCGGAAUCACUGGGCGUAAAGCGCACGUAGGCGGGUCGUCAAGUCGGGGGUGAAAGCCCGGAGCUCAACUCCGGAACAGCCUUCGAUACUGACGAUCUUGAGUUCGGGAGAGGUGAGUGGAACUGCGAGUGUAGAGGUGAAAUUCGUAGAUAUUCGCAAGAACACCAGUGGCGAAGGCGGCUCACUGGCCCGAUACUGACGCUGAGGUGCGAAAGCGUGGGGAGCAAACA
rnacentral:rRNA from 1 species